AUAAAUAAGCCUCACAACCCUUUUUCUCUCAUUUUCUCCCUCACGCAUAAGAGAAGUAAGGACAAGAACCAUUCUUUUCCUCUCCUCUUCCUCUCUCUAGAUUCCUCCCAAACUUGGAGUUUUGGUAGAGACCAAGCUCGGGAUGCUCGGAGAAGUGGAGAACCGAGCUUUUGGGCGCUUGGUGGCUCGAAGUGCUUUCAACUCGAGAUUCGUUUUUGAGUUAAGAGGUUAGAGAAGUACCCCAUAUGACUUUGAUUUGAAAAUUGACGAACGUUUGGUGAUCGUUUCGACUAACGAACCGAACCGGGCGAUAUUGGCCAUAUUGGCUCGAAAGGGAGCGAUUACGCGUAGGAGCCCGAUUGUAAGUGUCUACAAGCAAUCGGAAGUGUUGCAAGCCUUGUGGAGGUCGUAACUCCCAAGCCGUGAGCUCCGGAGUGUCACAUUGAGAUUGAGACGGGGGAGGGAGUCACGACGGUGUGCCCCCAGCAGACAGUCAUAGUGGUGACUUGAUGUGGCGAGUUGAGACUCGAUCUACAGGCGAGCUGAUGCAAUUAGGACCAGGAAAAAAGAUAGGUUAUUAUACAGUAUCUUGCAUUCUAUAUAUGUGCGCGUGGUGAGUACUUGACCAUGAUGUUAUUAAAAUGGCAUAGUGGUUAGCAUUGUUACAUGUUAUACUUUGGGUUGAGAUAGACUUGUAUCCUAUGCUAUAUUGUAUUGUUGCAUCCUGCAUAGAAGGUGAGUAUAGUGAGAUCACAUGUUGAGUGUGGGGUCGAUCGUGAUAUUCAUGUGAGUUGGGCUUGGUCUUGUGGGAAGCCUUUGAUUGGGUUGAGAAUAAGUCACAUGUGGAGUAACAGUUGAUCAUUUUAUUCUUGGACCUAGACCCGUGAGGCUGUGUGGGGUUAGUUGGACUGGAUUUGUGGAAACCCCUGAUUGGGUCGAGAAUGAGUUGGGUCAAGAGUGAGUAAAAGAACACCCUUGAUUAUAGUAAAUCGUGAAACUCAUUCCCUACCGUUGUAAGGCAUAGUAGGAAUUGCUUUCAGUUCCAUACAUGCUUAGUGUAGUAGUAUUAUUGCUUAUCAGUUUUUGUAGCUACUUAUGCCUGAUUAGACCUAAUGGAAAAUCAGCGAGGUCGGUAAUCGAACUCACUGGGAACUAUUUUUAUAGUUCUCACUCCCAUAUUUUGCAGGUUCACACAUGAGAGACGCAGCGGCGCGAGGAAAGGAUAUAACUAUAGUUAGCGUCCUGCUAUGCGACCAAAGAUAGAUGUACCAUGUAUCGAUGUAGCUUAAGGGUUGAAAAGAAUGAAAGAAAUGUAAUAAAAUUGAUUGUAUUUGAAAGAAUAUAAAUGUAAAUUAAAUGAGAUGAAUGUUUUUAAUAGUAUAGUUAUUUAUGUUUAUUA